UCCAGAGAAACCCUGUGUGGGAACAGGAGACCAAUGAAAGUAGACACAUUCUAUCCAGUGAGGUGAAGCCAAAGAGCAUCUAUUGUUUGGCAUGAUUUAACCUAAAGAUAAAAGCAUCAGAGCCUUGCUCAGGGGAAGCCUGUCACUUUAUUGACGCCCCAUGUUUAUCUUACUACCUGAUGCUGGUAAAUCUUCUAAAAUAGAAAAAGAACUUUCAGGGUUGUCUUUAAGGACUGUGAAGAAAGGAGGAAACUGGGGAGACAAUUUUCUCUGAACCCAGAGGUGUUCUACCACCGAGCUAGAUUCCCAGUCCCCGCCCCUGUUUUGUUGUUAUUUGUUUGUUUUUGUUUUCUCCUUUUGUUUUAUUUAUUUUUAAAUUUUGAGACAGGGUCUAAGUUGCCCAGGCUGGCCUGGCACUUGCCAUGCUCCUGCUGGGAUUACAGGCAUGCACCACCAUGACCAACUGGGACUUCUGAGGAUCAAAGUUAACUGCCAGGGAUGAAGAGUGGUGAAGAAAUGGAGACAGCAGGGGAGCCCAGGAGUGGGAAGAAGGAAGCUGGGGCUCUCUGGGAAGAGAGCAGGGGUGAGAUGGAAGCGCUACUCCACGGUGACCAAUAAAGAUGGCCACUCUGAGCCAAAAACAGCUCCUGCUCUUGACCCACUGAGCUCUUUCACAAACCAGCCCGACAGAAGAACUGAUUUACAAAUGUUUACAGACAGUUUUAUUUACUAAUCUAGUUCUCAUUUACUCUCAGUUAAAUUUAUAGUCCUAAUUAUAGUCAUCAGCACUUUCUUGAUAAUAAAU
rnacentral:lncRNA from 1 species